rnacentral:rRNA from 1 species
UGGGGAAUAUUGCACAAUGGGGGAAACCCUGAUGCAGCGACGCCGCGUGGAGGAAGAAGGUCUUCGGAUUGUAAACUCCUGUUGUUGAGGAAGAUAAUGACGGUACUCAACAAGGAAGUGACGGCUAACUACGUGCCAGCAGCCGCGGUAAAACGUAGGUCACAAGCGUUGUCCGGAAUUACUGGGUGUAAAGGGAGCGCAGGCGGGAGAACAAGUUGGAAGUGAAAUCCAUGGGCUCAACCCAUGAACUGCUUUCAAAACUGUUUUUCUUGAGUAGUGCAGAGGUAGGCGGAAUUCCCGGUGUAGCGGUGGAAUGCGUAGAUAUCGGGAGGAACACCAGUGGCGAAGGCGGCCUACUGGGCACCAACUGACGCUGAGGCUCGAAAGUGUGGGUAGCAAACAGGAUUAGAUACCCUGGUAGUCCACACCGUAAACGAUGAUUACUAGGUGUUGGAGGAUUGACCCCUUCAGUGCCGCAGUUAACACAAUAAGUAAUCCACCUGGGGAGUACGACCGCAAGGUUGAAACUCAAAGGAAUUGACGGGGGCCCGCACAAGCAGUGGAGUAUGUGGUUUAAUUCGACGCAACGCGAAGAACCUUACCAAGUCUUGACAUCCUGCGACGCACAUAGAAAUAUGUGUUUCCUUCGGGACGCAGAGACAGGUGGUGCAUGGUUGUCGUCAGCUCGUGUCGUGAGAUGUUGGGUUAAGUCCCGCAACGAGCGCAACCCUUAUGGUCAGUUACUACGCAAGAGGACUCUGGCCAGACUGCCGUUGACAAAACGGAGGAAGGUGGGGAUGACGUCAAAUCAUCAUGCCCUUUAUGACUUGGGCUACACACGUACUACAAUGGCGUUAAACAAAGAGAAGCAAGACCGCGAGGUGGAGCAAAACUCAGAAACAACGUCCCAGUUCGGACUGCAGGCUGCAACUCGCCUGCACGAAGUCGGAAUUGCUAGUAAUCGUGGAUCAGCAUGCCACGGUGAAUACGUUCCC